rnacentral:rRNA from 1 species
GGCGAACGCUGGCGGCGUGCCUAAUACAUGCAAGUCGAACGCUUCUUUCCUCCCGAGUGCUUGCACUCAAUUGGAAAGAGGAGUGGCGGACGGGUGAGUAACACGUGGGUAACCUACCCAUCAGAGGGGGAUAACACUUGGAAACAGGUGCUAAUACCGCAUAACAGUUUAUGCCGCAUGGCAUAAGAGUGAAAGGCGCUUUCGGGUGUCGCUGAUGGAUGGACCCGCGGUGCAUUAGCUAGUUGGUGAGGUAACGGCUCACCAAGGCCACGAUGCAAAGCCGACCUGAGAGGGUGAUCGGCCACACUGGGACUGAGACACGGCCCAGACUCCUACGGGAGGCAGCAGUAGGGAAUCUUCGGCAAUGGACGAAAGUCUGACCGAGCAACGCCGCGUGAGUGAAGAAGGUUUUCGGAUCGUAAAACUCUGUUGUUAGAGAAGAACAAGGACGUUAGUAACUGAACGUCCCCUGACGGUAUCUAAACAGAAAGCCACGGCUAACUACGUG